ACCAAGAGACAUGCACUGGGGGAAUGAGCCGGAGGAGCGCUCCCUGCCCUUGGGCUGCACAGGAUUUUGUGGAGAGCAAAUGAGAUGUAGGAAGAGGGGCAGAAUGGGCACUGUACUAAUGCUAGCCAAGGGGUGCAAGCUUAGCCAAGCACAGCAAUUAGUUUGCCACUUGUCAGACAGGUAGAUUUUACCCUGCACAGGCAGGGGCCCCUGGGUUUCUACUAACUGGAGUAUGUGCCAGGUCUCUAGAGAUAUAUGUUAGAAUGGCAAGGUGAGAUCUAAGAUGGCGUCCAUCUGUCGGUAUGAGGGUCUGCGUUACAGAGGGACGGAAAACUCUGCACGGAACAUUAUUCAGGUCGGUGCAUCUGGGAUCUGGAAGAAGAAGACCUGCACUAUCCUGGGCCUUACAGGCUGCUAUGGCUGGUCAAACGGAACCAAGUCCGUCUUCCUUAGAGGUUUGGUCCCCUUCAACCAGCUAUUGCAGUACUGAGCCUCAACAGCGCCCCCCCAGGCCGGAUUCUGCUGCUGAUCAAGCAAAGGACGUUUAAUCUAGGAGGUGCCUCCAUGUUGUACCCCCACCGGAGGGGCAUGUAUUUAUUUUUCUGUGCUGUUUCUACCCAUCUGUCAGUCUAGCAACCAGGGCCACUGAAAGUCAUUUAGCUCAUAAUGUUUUUUAAAUCUUCCUAAGGGGGUGUCACCCUUGUGGUCCUUAUUCUGCUUGAACUACAGUUCCCAGAAUUCCUCAGCUGCUGGCUAAAAGCUUUGGUGAUAUGCUGGAAUAUACGAGACACCCCCUCUCCCAUUUUAUGCUCCUGUUUUUUUCAGAACCCUCCUCCCCUCCUGGUAUUUAAACCAGUAACAGGCAGUUACCAUUAAAGUCUAUGGAGGGGCAAAUUGUUCUACUGGCCUUCAUGUUGGGGGUGGGUGGGACGUGAUAUCAUUUAUUGGUGGAGCUAUGGUGUAAGGGGCAGUAAAAUGGGCAGGGAAAGGUGAAUGGGGCCAGUAAAUGGGUAGACUGGGCGGGGUUGUAGGAGGAGCAGGGGCGGGCCCAUAGUUAUAUAGGGUGGCCCACAGCACUGAGGGUUAAAAAGGAGGGAUUUAUAGGCCAAUAAAAAGUACAUUGCCGGUAAAUUUGUAAUACCGGUGCUGCUCCUACCAGUUGAUUUACUGUCUAGGCCGGUCAAAUACCAACCAGGUGGCAACCCUAGCGCCCAACGAGCUGGAAAAUACUAGGAAGCGCCCCAUGUACCAAUGUCCUAAUAACUAAUUAUCAUGCAAAUGCCCCUUGUAAUCAAAAGAAACAGAAUUUGUGUUUUACACAAUUGUUACUUUUUGCUUCUGAACUACAGUUUCCAGCAUGUUGAGGCUGGGGAUGCUGGGAGUUGUAGUUCACAACAGUAGGUCAAUAAACAAGAAACCAGUCAUGUUAGUUAAAGAGAAAGGGCCAUGUAUUAUUAUUCCAACUGAACUGAUCUUGUGCAAAUAACUGUAUUUGCUUGAUAUUACCCACAAUUCCUAGGUACAAGUGGGAAAACUGUAAAUUUGCUUUGAUUUUGGGUGCUAAUGCUGGGUUUAUUCAAGUGGGGGAUGUAUGGCUAUAUGUUCAAAAUGAGUGCUCAUUCAUAAAAUAAACCAAUUAAAAUGCUUC